rnacentral:sRNA from 1 species
UGUGACCGGCCGCCGCGCCAACCCGUCCCUCGAUGCGGCGGCCGGUUCAGGCAAGACCUGCGGAGACGCGUCGCUUUCCCUGAGGCGGCGCGUC